UACGGAGGGGGCUAGCGUUGUUCGGAAUUACUGGGCGUAAAGCGCGCGUAGGCGGACUGUUAAGUCGGGGGUGAAAUCCCGGGGCCCAACCCCGGAACUGCCUUCGAUACUGGCGGUCUAGAGGUCUGGAGAGGUGAGUGGAAUUCCGAGUGUAGAGGUGAAAUUCGUAGAUAUUCGGAGGAACACCAGUGGCGAAGGCGGCUCACUGGCCAGAUGCUGACGCUGAGGUGCGAAAGAGUGGGGAGCAAACAGG
rnacentral:rRNA from 1 species